rnacentral:rRNA from 1 species
UACGUAGGGGGCAAGCGUUGUCCGGAAUUAUUGGGCGUAAAGGGCGCGUAGGUGGUUCUGUAUGUCUACCGUGAAAGCGUACGGCUCAACCGUAUUUUGUCGGUGGAAACUGCAGGACUUGAGGCUGGGAGGGGCUGGUGGAAUUCCCUGUGUAGCGGUGAAAUGCGUAGAGAUGGGGGAGAACACUCGUGGCGAAGGCGGCCAGCUAGACCAGUUCUGACACUGAGGCGCGACAGCGUGGGGAGCAAACAGG